CCUGCAGGAGCAGCCUGAGAACAAGUCUGGCAACACAAGGGAGCGUGUGUUCCCUUAAAUCAUUUCAACAAAGGACUAUAUUCAUGCCACCUUUUUUUUUUUGUGAUGUGGAAAGCAGUAAAAUCCUCUCCUGGAAAUCCUGUGCCUGGCUGUGUUGGCGACCUGGCGUGCGCUUUUACGCGCGGCCGCACGGUGGCGACCUGCGCUGCGCCGCCAGCUCACCACCAUCUGAACGUUUCCUCAUAAAGAACCCGGGACUCGUCCUCAUCCGACGCACACCGGCAGCCGGGCUCUCCUCCGCGGCAGGCUCCGACCAUGACAGCGUGACUGCGUGCAGGUUUCUCCCCCCGCUGCCCUCAUUCUCCGCUCUCCGAGCCGCUGAACUUCUUCCCAGCGCUCCUGUCAGACUGAAUUGCCGACCUUGACAGCGCGCUGUGGGGGAGGAUUCGAGUUAAAGUCUGUCCGGAGAAAGAAAAAAAAAAACAACUGUAAGCACUCGGUUGCGGACUGGGAGAGUGAAGUUAGAAGUAAGAGGCGGAAAACUGCAACAUCUCAAGGACGCGAGGAAAAAAAGUGCGAGGCGCGGAUCGUCACAGGUGCAGCGAGCAGCGGACUGGGUUUGGAUUUAACCUGGAUUCAUCUGACUGAGUUGCAUCCAGCACUUCAGAGAAACCAACUAACAGGCACCCGCUGGAGGAUCGUCAGUGUAUCCUGCGGGGGUCCGUGUGAGAACAGGUACAGGACUGUUGGACCGAACAGGCUGCGGACCCUCGGCUUUUUUUUUUUGUUGCGCGCCCACCUCGGUGCGCUCUGCCCGGCUCGAGUGGCGGCAGGAGACCCCCGGCAGCAGCAGCAGCAGCAGCGGCGGCGGCGGCAGCAGGAGGACCAGGAGGAAGAAGGAGGAGGACAGCAGAACCAGAACCACACUUCCACGCUUCCAGCUCACCGGGCACUUGUUGUCCAGCCUGCCUCUCCGGUUUGGAACAAUGUUUGCGGACUCCUGGAGCAGAUCGAUGUGGCGCGCCACAUGGAUUUUAUUUUUUUCCUUACUCAUCCACUCCGCACGAGCUCAAGUUUCAUCCCUCUCCUCCUUCUCCAUCACGCUCUCUUCCACCCAGUCGUUUGCUUCCUUCGCUGUUCCGACCACAACCGAACAGAAUCAGCCCCAGAACCCCCGACGGUCAGGCAGAACAGUCAGAGGCACUGCUG
rnacentral:lncRNA from 1 species